rnacentral:rRNA from 1 species
CCCUACGGGGCGCACCAGUACACCGGUUUUUUCCCUUUAUAGACGCUUCCGUUCAGGAGGAGCUUUCCAAACUCCUCGACGGUCUGCCCUUCGUAAUCGUAAGCCAUGGUCAGAUACGGUUUGUCCCAUUCUCCGAAGACGCCCAGUCUUUUGAAUUGCGACCGCUGGAUGUCCACAUACCGCUCCGCAUAGGUCCGGCAGAAGCGCCGCACGUCGGCCUGAGACAUGGAAGCCUUCUUAUCGCCCAAUUCCUUGUCCACCUGAUGUUCGAUGGGCAGUCCGUGGCAGUCCCAACCGGGGACGUAUACGCAGUCCAACCCCAUCAUAUUCUUGGACUUGAUGACCAUAUCCGUGAUGAUUUUGUUCAGCGCCGUGCCUAAAUGAAUUGGCGGGAGGGC